CAGUGGUUUCUAAUAAAAAGAGAUAAAAACUCUUAAAAGAAACUAAAAGGACGCGGUAACCUUGACCGUGAUAAUGUAGCAUAAUCACUCGCCAUUUAAUUGGUGGAUAGUAUGAAUGGUUGAACGAAUAUACCACUGUCUUAGAAAGAAUCAUAAGAAAUUGAAAUAAUAGUUAAGAUGCUAUUUUUUACUGUAAGACGAAAAGACCCUAUAGAGCUUAACUAUAAUCUUUUUAUUUUAAAAGAAAAUUAAUUUAAUAAUUAAAAAGAUUGGUAGUUUAGUUGGGGCGACUGUUUUCUAAAACUAACGAAAACAAGCAAUGUUAAUAAAAAACUUAUUGUAUAAUAAAAAUAUUUAACAAUUAUAAAAAUAGGCUAUAAUGACCCGUUAUUCCUAUAUAAAAAGAAUAACGAUCAAUUAAUAAAAGCUACCUUAGGGAUAACAGGAUAAUUUCAUUUUAGAGUUCCUAUCGAAAAUGAAGUUUGUCACCUCUAUGUUGAAUUAAGAUAUCCUGAUAAUGCAGCAGUUAUCAAAGGUAG
rnacentral:rRNA from 1 species